rnacentral:rRNA from 1 species
UGGCUCAGAACGAACGUUAGCGGCGCGCCUAACACAUGCAAGUCGUGCGAGAAAGGGCUUCGGCCCCGGUAAAGCGGCGCACGGGUGAGUAACACGUGGAUAACCUACCCUCAGGUGGCGGAUAACCUUCCGAAAGGAGGGCUAAUACGGCAUAAGACCACGAUCUCGCAAGAGGUUGAGGUAAAAGCAGGCCUCUGUACACAAGCUUGCGCCAGAGGAUGGGUCCGCGGCCCAUCAGCUAGUUGGUAGGGUAAUGGCCUACCAAGGCGAAGACGGGUAGCUGGUCUGAGAGGAUGAUCAGCCACACUGGAACUGAGACACGGUCCAGACUCCUACGGGAGGCAGCAGUGGGGAAUCUUGCGCAAUGGGCGAAAGCCUGACGCAGCGACGCCGCGUGAGUGAUGGAAGGGCCUUCGGGGUUGUAAAGCUCUGGUGGGGAGGGGGACGAAGUAAGUCGGGAGCGAAAUAGCUCCGAUGAUGACGGUACCCUUUAGCAAGCACCGGGCUAAACUCU